rnacentral:rRNA from 1 species
AUUGAACGCUGGCGGCAGGCCUAACACAUGCAAGUCGAGCGAGAGGCGGACGGGUGUGUAAUGUCUGUGAAACUGCCUGUUGGAGGGGGAUAACUACUCGAAACGGUAGCUAAUACAGCAUACCAUCAGAUGUGCCCCGAUGGGAUUAGCGUGUAGGUGGGGUAACGGCUCACCAAGGCGACGAUCCCUAGCUGGUCUGAGAGGAUGACCAGCCACACUGGAACUGAGACACGGUCCAGACUCCUACGGGAGGCAGCAGUGGGGAAUAGGGCACAAUGGGCGCAAGUCUGAUGCAGCCAUGCCGCGUGUGUGAAGAAGGCCUUCGGGUUGUAAAGCACUUUCAGCGGGGAGGCGUUACCCGCAGAAGAAGCACCGGCUAACUCCGUGCCAGCAGCCGCGGUAAUUC